GACGAACGCUGGCGGCGUGCUUAACACAUACAAGUCGAACGGAAAGGCCCUGCUUUUGUGGGGUGCUCGAGUGGCGAACGGGUGAGUAACACGUGAGUAACCUGCCCUUGACUUUGGGAUAACUUCAGGAAGCUGGGGCUAAUACCGGAUAGGAGCUCCUGCUGCAUGGUGGGGGUUGGAAAGUUUCGGCGGUUGGGGAUGGACUCGCGGCUUAUCAGCUUGUUGGUGGGGUAGUGGCUUACCAAGGCUUUGACGGGUAGCCGGCCUGAGAGGGUGACCGGCCACAUUGGGACUGAGAUACGGCCCAGACUCCUACGGGAGGCAGCAGUGGGGAAUAUUGCACAAUGGGCGGAAGCCUGAUGCAGCAACGCCGCGUGCGGGAUGACGGCCUUCGGGUUGUAAACCGCUUUCGCCUGUGACGAAGCGUGAGUGACGGUAAUGGGUAAAGAAGCACCGGCUAACUACGUG
rnacentral:rRNA from 1 species